CUACGGGCCGCUGCAGUGGGGAAUAUUGCACAAUGGGCGCAAGCCUGAUGCAGCCAUGCCGCGUGUAUGAAGAAGGCCUUCGGGUUGUAAAGUACUUUCAGCGGGGAGGAAGGGAGUAAAGUUAAUACCUUUGCUCAUUGACGUUACCCGCAGAAGAAGCACCGGCUAACUCCGUGCCAGCAGCCGCGGUAAUACGGAGGGUGCAAGCGUUAAUCGGAAUUACUGGGCGUAAAGCGCACGCAGGCGGUUUGUUAAGUCGGAUGUGAAAUCCCCGGGCUCAACCUGGGAACUGCAUCUGAUACUGGCAAGCUUGAGUCUCGUAGAGGGGGGUAGAAUUCCAGGUGUAGCGGUGAAAUGUGUAGAGAUCUGGAGGAAUACCGGUGGCGAAGGCGGCCCCCUGGACGAAGACUGACGCUCAGGUGCGAAAGCGUGGGGAGCAAACAGGAUUAGAUACCCCAGUAGUC
rnacentral:rRNA from 1 species